UGAUGCCGAUCAGGCUGUUGCGUGGGUACCCUCAUCAAUCGCUCAGGCUGUGCUGGCUGAUACGAGGGGCCAGGCUGCUGGCGCCUUUGUCUGGCCCUUAUUGACCAGUGGGCAGCCCUCCAGAGGCUUUGCGCUGGGUCAAAGAGGAUGAUGCUCUUCUCUGAAAGAAAAAGCAGGUCUUAGGUCAAAGGUAUACAGACAAAUACCGACCACACGGAGAAAUAAAUGUUUGAGUGCCUCAGCCAACACUGUAU
rnacentral:sRNA from 1 species